UACGUAGGCAGCAAGCGUUGUUCGGAGUUACUGGGCGUAAAGGGUGUGUAGGCGGUUGUUUAAGUUUGGUGUGAAAUCUCCCGGCUCAACUGGGAGGGUGCGCCGAAUACUGAAUGACUUGGAGUACGGGAGAGGAAAGUGGAAUUCCUGGUGUAGCGGUGAAAUGCGUAGAUAUCAGGAGGAACACCGGUGGUGUAGACGGCUUUCUGGACCGUAACUGACGCUGAGGAGCGAAAGCGUGGGGAGCGAACAGG
rnacentral:rRNA from 1 species